rnacentral:rRNA from 1 species
AUUGAACGCUGGCGGAAUGCUUUACACAUGCAAGUCGAACGGCAGCACGGACUUCGGUCUGGUGGCGAGUGGCGAACGGGUGAGUAAUACAUCGGAACGUGCCCAGUCGUGGGGGAUAACGUAGCGAAAGCUACGCUAAUACCGCAUACGAUCUAAGGAUGAAAGCGGGGGAUCGCAAGACCUCGCGCGAUUGGAGCGGCCGAUGGCAGAUUAGGUAGUUGGUGGGGUAAAGGCUCACCAAGCCGACGAUCUGUAGCUGGUCUGAGGGGACGACCGGCCACACUGGGACUGAGACACGGCCCAGAUUCCUACGGGAGGCAGAAGUGGGGAAUUUUGGACAAUGGGCGAAAGCCUGAUCCAGCCAUUCCGCGUGCAGGAUGAAGGCCCUCGGGUUGUAAACUGCUUUUGUACGGAACGAAAAGGCUCUGGUUAAUACCUGGGGCUCAUGACGGUACCGUAAGAAUAAGCACCGGCUAACUACGUGCCAGCCGCCGCCGUAA